rnacentral:rRNA from 1 species
AUGCAAUUUUUGGAGCACUGUGAAGCAGGCAUAUGGGGUUCUCGCUUCGGGAUGGAUGAACCCCCACUCGCCCAGGCUGACACGUGCAGCGGGAAAUUGCUAGAGGCGGCCACGCCUUGCUGCGAAGCGGACCGAACCGAAGAAAAAAAAGAGACUAAUCUAAUCCCCAAUCCCACGCCGCCGCCGCCGCCGCCGCCGCUCCUCCCACCCACCUUCAAGGAAGCGACGACGGCCGCUGCGGAGAACGAGAAGCACGACGAGCCUCCUCUUCUCUUCUCUCUUUCUCUCUCCCUCCCUCCUCUCCCGCUCCAAUCCUCCCCUCCCUCUGCCCCCAUCGCCGCCGCUCCACCACCCAAGCCACCGACGAGCCCCACCCACCCAGGGCACGGCCCUUUCACCCACCGACGCCGCCCGCCACUCACCGUCUCUCACUCUCCAGCCGGGACGCCACAGAUCGAUUCGGAGCAGGCCAGGCGGCGCCAUGGCCGCGUCCGGACUUCCGGACGCGCGCCGUCGUCGAGCUGGGCUCCGCCGGGAGAGGAGGACCGAGGGGGCGGCCACUGGGUGCUUCUUCUCUCGGGACGCCGCUCUUCGGCUGCUCUUACCGACCCUGCUGGUGCCGCGAAAUGGAGCUUCCGCUGCUACUCUUCUCCCUGCCUCCCUGUCUCUGUUCGAUUCAACCGCGGUUCGCUGAUGGGGGACUCUUCUUCAACUCCCCACCUGCCCCUCAGGUGGAGCUGCAGAGGUCCAUCAGGCAGGAGGUCUCUGUCUCCGUUCAAGGGGCAGCUAGUAGAUGGAUGA